AAACCACAGGGAAGGAGGUGGAGGGCGUAGAGCCGGUGCAGCAGGAAAACACCUUCAACAACAGCCGAGGAAGCAGAGCCGGGUCACGGCAACAACAAAAGAAAAGUCCUAAACUGUUCAUCCGGCCACGAAGAAAACGUAGAAACUUCUACCCUCGAGAAGUUGGAAACCUUGUUGAGGAGGCAAGAAUUACGAGUAAAAAGUUGAAUAACAAGUGAAAAAAUGCUUCAAGAAUAUAAAAUAGAAAACUGCAGAGUGAGGAAGUCGGUACACUAGUAAUUGUCAAAGGAAAUGUGUUUAUUCUUUGCUAACUGAACCGGGACUGGCAAGCCUGUUGCUAACCAACUUGCCAGGAGACCUUUCAGCUGGGCAAAAUGUGCUUUCACUUUGUUCCAGGUCAAAUGGGUAAACUAAGUUGGAAGCAUUGUGUGGGCAAAUCAGACAUGUUGAAUUACUAAUGAAGUGAAAACAGGAGCACACACAAUUCCUGGAACUGAAAUGCUAUUGGAAUAUCCUGGAAUAUGCUAGAAACAGUAGUGAUGUUCUGCUCUUUCUUCAACCUUUUCAUAUGCCCUCAUGAGUGAUCACUGAAGUCAAGGCCACCCACGAUAACUAGUUUGUCGUUCCAUGAAAUAUAUUGUUGUAUCUGUGCUUUUGAUGAAUUCUAGAUCUUUUAGUCUGUUGGUAGAAGGCCCAAUUACAGUCUGACCUGUUUCAAGUUAGGGAAAUUUAUAAAUGUUGUUGAUGGAUGAAAUACACUCUUAAAAAAAAAGAUGUGAAAAGGAAUACAUUGCUUUGCCAACAAGUGCAGGAAAAAGAAACGUUUGCAUGCUCAAAGCUGUUUCUUACCUACUGAAAGUUAAAAAUAAGGCAAGUAAAAUAAAGUAAUUGAUAGUGUCAGGAUAUUAAAUAAUAAAUUCAUGAGAAAAUUAGAACAGUCAGAUUAUCCACAAAAAGCUUGGAAGCUCGGCACUAUGGCGUGUAGAGCAGAGUUACAGCUCUAACAAAAGGUUUUAUAGAACGCACCUGCGAGUAGAAUAACAGCCCCAGAGGUGUGCAGGGGAGACACCAAAAGUUGUGAGCAUUGUUUUUCAGAUCUAUCAGUCAUUGCUAGAAUCCAUUUUGAGAGCUGAGUAGUGUAGCCAGGAAAUAUAGAUUAAAUGGAUAUUUAAGGAAGCAAGUAUGUCAUCCCUCAAUUAUGUAAAAGAUUUUAUAAAUUUAUGAAAAUGCAUGGAAUAUUCAUACAUUGUCAGAACCAAUAAAAAUGUUUCUGGAGUAUUUAUUAUGUUCAAGGAAGACGACAAAAAAGUAUGAGACAGGUUCUCUCCUUCCUGGGGUUUAAAUUUAGUUGGGAAAGAAAUGGUGUAAAUAUAUAAAAAUCUGAAACAAUAGAGAAGUUAAAUAACAAUAUAAUUGUAUAUGAAUGUUAGAGCUAAAUUGAAUAUUCAUUGGUUACAGCCAUCUUAUUCCUGGUCCCUGGUGUGGUUGUAUUGUCUCUGCCCUUUUUUUACAUUAAAAACAAAUUUUUUUACUCUCUGACUUUAUUUUAAAGUGUCAUAAACUUACUGUAAAAAUGAUACUUUUAGUAAUUUUAGAAAGUCAUCAGCCUACAAAUUGUAAGUCAAUAAAAUAAGACCGAUGUCAGAGAUAUCAUAACACAGAAUGAUUGCUAUUUUUAUUGAGCAUCCAUUGGAACCAUGGAAGAUAAUAAGUCAGCCUCUAAAUAGCCCCAAAAGUAAGCUCCUCGAAGUAGGGCCUCUUUACCUCUACACAACAAACUUAGCUAAUUACCAUGAUACAAAGCUACUUGACAGAGUUUGAGAGCCAAUAAGUUUUUUCUCUCACAGUGGGGGAAAAAAAAAGUGCAGAAUGUACAGUCUCUAGAUUGUUAGAAAAAUAUACCAUUGAUUCCCUCUGGAGGAAUCCAGUCCUGUACAGUUCCAAUUAAUCCAUCCUUUUCUGGGAGUCCUGAAAUUAAAAAUGAUACUAGUCAUGGUUAGAUUUCUUGCCAGAGAACAAGUUUUAUGUUUUAAUAACACAUGCACUUCGACCAAUAACAGUGUAACACUAUAAAAUGUUGACAGACGCAAUAAAAUUUAAUUUGAUGAGCAACUCCAUAAAAUGAAUCUCUGACUUUUAAAUGUGAACCACAGGUUAAAUCUCUGAAAAAAAUCAGUGUUUUUAUUACACUUUCUGCAGUAGGUCAUGUUGAAAAGUUAUCUAUGAAAUUAAUUUUUGAAAUAUUGACUUUUUAUAAACUUCAUGUAUAAAUGGGAUUUUUUUCUUAAAAAAUUAGGGAGGCAAAUAUUAACAAUGAAAGACCAGAUAUUCCGAAGUGUUAUAUUUUAAAUAUAAUACCUAUAAAAUGUAACACAAUGUGAGUAGAGGUUGACCUGGUUUUGAAUCUAGAGAGGAAAAAUACACUAAAAUGAAAAAUUUGUUGAAGCUUCUCUUAAGCCCACUCACUUUCGAUGUCAUAGCACACAUGAAAUUCUAUUAACUUACUUAGAUUCUCUCCCCCUCGUUCUCUGCUGGCUUUUAGAAAUGAACAGGUUAAAAUGGCCUAAGGGGAGGAGGAGACACAGAAACACAGCUGAGACAAUAGUAAAAAAAGUAAAUGAACAAAUGAACACACGCCACAAUCAUGAAAUGAACAAGGAGCUUAUUUCCUAAAGCAUGGUUUUUAAAGAUAUCAUGCUUAUAAUUCCGCAAAGCAAGUUGUAUACCAAAUCAUUCCCUGAGUUAUAAAUUCUAUAAUACUUGAGUCUAUUUAUUAAACUCCUGAACUAUGAUAAACCAUAAGUAGGAGAUAAUUCAUCCCGAUUCUCAGCCCUGAAGACAGAAAUGUUAUCAUAAACUCCUGAGGAACUGUCCUUAGCAGAUUUACACAGGGCGUUGGGGAUGUGCCCCCUACACUGAAAGCGGAAUGAGCCAACACCAGUAAUUCAAACCUGUUUGAGGGUUAAGGGCGGAGAGGAGCAAACGAUACAGUUUUCCCAGAACUGUUUUUCCUAUGUAGCAGCCAGUUUUCAGUUGCUUACUGUAAAUCAGCGCUUUUACAUGACCAUCAUAAAUCCAGAGACAGCAUAAUGGCUCAGGGAGGCCGAUAGUUCAGGCUUGGUUGAGACCAAAGACUGGCCACUUCGGAGAAUUUAGAGAGAAAGCAAAGAGCCCCCCAGCCCACGUCUCUUUCUUCUUUCUCAGUCUCUCUCUCUCUCUCUCCCUUUCUCUCCUCUCCUCCUCCUCCUCCUCUUCUCUUAUUUCUCUCUCUUGCUCCCCAUCCUUCCAUAAAAUGCUUUGUGCCUUAUGGCAUAUGGAAGGACAAAAUGCAUACAAUGAUGCUUUCUACAGUUAACACUGAGCUAUAAUACAUUCAUUAUUCACUUCAUAUAUGAUUCCAGGCAACUUUUGAGCCCCAGGUUGUCUCUCCUCCUUGCUACACAGAUGCCUUCCUACCAUCCAUUGAUGUGACUUCAGUCAGUUAAAAAUUACUUAAAUACUAUCCUAAACAAAAUAAGUUUGUAUACACGUCUGCCACCCUUGAAAAUCACACAGUACCUCUAAAAUCCAGAUGUUGGAAUUGUGUUAUUUUGGAGGUUGUAUUUAUUUGGAUAAUUAAAAAUUGCAUUCAUUUUG